rnacentral:rRNA from 1 species
AUCUGGGCGGCGGAAUUCAGAGUUGGCAGUUUGAUAUUUCCGUCGCCGCAGACGUCGCGACCUGUUUGGUGUCGGUCCCUGCUCGGAGGAAUCGCGAACGAGUUUGCUGCGGGGCGUGCUUCGUGGCGAAGUCGCGAACUUCUGGCCGGCUUGCCGAACAGUAAGGUGGCCGGCGUCGGUACCGGUCGGCGACGAUUUCUUCGGGCCUCUUUCCGACCCGUCUUGAAACACGGACCAAGGAGUCUAGCGUGCGCGCGAGUCGCGGGGUGUCGCGCUCGUUACUUAGCGAAACCCGAAGGCGCAAUGAAAGUGAAUGGGGAAGAUGGCGUUUCGAGAACACGUACCGCGGCGCGGCCGAUCGCCCGCAUUCCCGGGGCGUCUCAACGGCCCGUCGCGGAUGCCAGGAGGUCGCCUUCCGGGGUGGCCGACGGUCUGCGACGAACCGA